rnacentral:rRNA from 1 species
CCUACGGGUGGCAGCAGUGAGGAAUAUUGGUCAAUGGACGCAAGUCUGAACCAGCCAUGCCGCGUGCAGGAAGACGGCUCUAUGAGUUGUAAACUGCUUUUGUACGAGAGUAAACGCAGAUACGCGUAUCUGUCUGAAAGUAUCGUACGAAUAAGGAUCGGCUAACUACGUGCCAGCAGCCGCGGUAAUACGGAGGAUUCAAGCGUUAUCCGGAUUUAUUGGGUUGAAAGGGUGCGUAGGCGGUCGGAUAAGUUAGAGGUGAAAUCCCGAGGCUCAACUUCAGAAUUGCCUGUGAUACUGGUAGGCUAGAGGAUAGUUGAGGUAGGCGGAAUGUAUGGUGUAGCGGUGAAAUGCUGAGAGAUCAGACAGAACACCGAUUGCGAAGGCAGCUUACCAAGCUACUUCUGACGUUGAGGCUCGAAAGCGUGGGGAGCAAACAGGAUUAGAUACCCGGGUAGGC